GUGGGAGCCAGCCUGCUGGCGAUGGCGUCGUGUCAGUCAACAUCUUCAGGACUGGCGGAUAGCAAUCGCCAGCAGGCUGGCUCCCAC
rnacentral:ncRNA from 4 species